CAGCCGCCGCGGUAAUACGUAGGGUGCGAGCGUUAAUCGGAAUUACUGGGCGUAAAGCGUGCGCAGGCGGUUGUGUAAGACAGGUGUGAAAUCCCCGGGCUUAACCUGGGAACUGCGCUUGUGACUGCGCAGCUAGAGUAUGGCAGAGGGGGGUGGAAUUCCACGUGUAGCAGUGAAAUGCGUAGAGAUGUGGAGGAACACCGAUGGCGAAGGCAGCCCCCUGGGCCAAUACUGACGCUCAUGCACGAAAGCGUGGGGAGCAAACAGGAUUAGAUACCCGUGUAGUCCCUGUCUCUUAUAC
rnacentral:rRNA from 1 species